rnacentral:misc_RNA from 1 species
GGCUUCUGCAACCAACCAAUCCGCUAUAUCUAGUUUAUAUUGAUAUUGAUAUUCCCCUUGAUUCCUCAUCUAAAAUCCCAAUAAAAAAGAUUUUCUUUCCUUUUCUUCUUGCUUCCCACACUUGCCACCGAACAAACAAUCUAUAAAAUUCAACUUCCAAGGAAGAAAGGGGUAAGAAAAUAGAUGAAAAGUCAUAACUGUGCUUAGGCUUACUAGACCAGCUUCAAUG